AUUGAACGCUGGCGGCAGGCCUAACACAUGCAAGUCGAACGAGGGGCGGGCGGGUGAGUAAUGUGUGGGACUCUCUCUUGUGGAGGGGUAUCACUACGGGACACUGUACCUAAUACCGCAUUACAUAGGAUGAGCCCAAGUGGGAUUAGAUAGUUUGUGGGGUAAAGGCUCACCAAGACGACGAGCUCUAGCUGGUCUGAGAGGAUGACCAGCCACACUGGGACUGAGACACGGCCCAGACUCCUACGGGAGGAAGCAGUGGGGAAUAUUGCACAAUGGGGGCAAGCCUGACGCAGCCAUGCCGCGUGAAUGAAGAAGGCCUUCGGGUUGUAAAGUUCUUUCGGUAGCGAGGCGUUACCUACAGAAGAAGCACCGGCUAACUCCGUGCCAGCAGCCGCGGUAAUUC
rnacentral:rRNA from 1 species